ACCCUGCAGAUUCCUUACCCCUGAGAUCUAAACAUGGAUCCGGGUGGCCACAAAAGGAGGGAAAGUCAAACUGAAGUGGACUUGGGACUCUUCUGUGAUGAGUUCAUUUCAAACAAAC
rnacentral:snoRNA from 1 species